GCUGUGGCUCAGGGGUAAAGCAUCUGCUUGGUAUGCAGAAGGUCCUAAGUUCAAUCCCAGCAUUUCCA
rnacentral:tRNA from 1 species